CACGUAGGGCGCGAGCGUUGUCCGGAAUUAUUGGGCGUAAAGAGCUUGUAGGCGGUCUGUCGCGUCUGCUGUGAAAAUCCGGGGCUCAACCCCGGACUUGCAGUGGGUACGGGCAGACUAGAGUGUGGUAGGGGAGACUGGAAUUCCUGGUGUAGCGGUGAAAUGCGCAGAUAUCAGGAGGAACACCGAUGGCGAAGGCAGGUCUCUGGGCCACUACUGACGCUGAGAAGCGAAAGCAUGGGGAGCGAACAGG
rnacentral:rRNA from 1 species